GACAAACAUAACAGAAAAAAAUAGCUUUUUAAAAAAAGACAAUUGCUAUCUCUUUAAUCUUCUUUUGUUUGUUUUGCACACAGCCACUGGUGGCGUUUGGAGGGUGAGGAAGUGGGAGGAUGGUGGCAUGACUAUUAACUGGGACCCUGAGGUGGUUGUACAGCUCCUUUCCUUGUGAAUGCGAGAACAAGGAAGCUGAAAAUAAGGCAGCUCCAUAAGCUGGAGAAAAAUGGACCAUCGCACAAUAGAUUCAGCCUUUGGAUUUGGAUUCUAUCAGCCUCUAUAAUCAAUGCUGAUCACCCUCGGAUGGAAAGAGCAGUAACGAUUCACAUCGACGAUGACACCUGGCAGGAAACCCAUAAGAUUUAUGGUCAGAUGACUCCUGGAGAAUUACUUCCUCUGGUUAUGACUGACUUCAAAGAAUAAGAAAGAGCACAAUGCAGCUAUAAUGCUGAAGAGAAUGUAAUGUUGUAGCCUUAAAUGCUGUAUCAUUUGGAUAUAGUAAACUGGAGAAAUCAAGUCAUGAUGUUCCGUAUGACUUCCUGAAAAGGGGAAAAAGUGUCCCAGGAAAAAGAAACAGUUAACAGGCAUUUUGGCCACAGCUUUUCUGAUUUGAAAUGGGGAGAUCACCACACAGUGAUCAGACACAGUGCAAAAGUGGCAACUGAGUGGCUUACAGUUUUGCAGGAAACUUAGGUGUGUUUCAUCUUUUUGAAUGGAUUGGGUAGAAUGCCUUGGAUCUUUGGAUAGGUCACUCCUGUGAGGGGUCACAUGCAUUAAUAUAUUUUGGUUUACCUUUUAAAUUUAUAACAGUACUGCCUCUAUUUAC
rnacentral:lncRNA from 1 species